UAAACAAAUUUCAAAGUAUUUUCAUGCCGUCAUUUUCUUUUCUCUGUUGUUUUAAAAGAAUUAACACAACAAGCAAUAAAGAAAAGAUAAGUCAUAAGUAAGAGUUCCUUUUUCAUCCUCAUUUGCAUAUGUGCAUAUCU
rnacentral:ribozyme from 14 species